AGCAGGCAUGCGUGGGUCGUCCCGCUUCGCGGGACUCACAGGUCGUCCGGUAAGGGCGGCAGCCCCUAGUGGGUGGGAUCCUGUGACCCAGGGCCUGCUCGUUU
rnacentral:ncRNA from 1 species